rnacentral:rRNA from 1 species
UUUUACGAGAGUUUGAUCCUGGCUCAGGAUGAACGCUGGCGGCGUGCUUAACACAUGCA